CCUACGGGUGGCAGCAGUAGGGAAUAUUGCUCAAUGGGGGAAACCCUGAAGCAGCAACGCCGCGUGGAGGAUGAAGGUUUUCGGAUUGUAAACUCCUUUUGUUAGAGAAGAUAAUGACGGUAUCUAACGAAUAAGCACCGGCUAACUCCGUGCCAGCAGCCGCGGUAAUACGGAGGGUGCAAGCGUUACUCGGAAUCACUGGGCGUAAAGAGCGCGUAGGCGGGAUAGCAAGUCAGAUGUGAAAUCCUAGGGCUUAACCAUAGAACUGCAUUUGAAACUGUUAUUCUAGAGUAUGGGAGAGGUAGGUGGAAUUCUUGGUGUAGGGGUAAAAUCCGUAGAGAUCAAGAGGAAUACUCAUUGCGAAGGCGACCUGCUAGAACGUAACUGACGCUGAUGCGCGAAGGCGUGGGGAGCAAACAGGAUUAGAUACCCCUGUAGUC
rnacentral:rRNA from 1 species